rnacentral:lncRNA from 10 species
GGAAAGCUAAUGUGAUUAUUUGAAGGAAUUAUGCUGGAGCAGUGCUGGAAAGAAUGACAGGAAGCGUUCUUCCUUGUACUCUUCAAGAAAGAAGAAUGACCCAGGACUCUGGAGAUGACUGCAACAAGAAAGAGGAGAAAGUGGUGAAGUCUGAUGGCAUGAGAUGCAAAGCCAAAGGACAUUAGGAAGGAGGAAGAAAUUUCUGGAAGAAUCAAUGAGGAGCAAUGAAACAAUCAAUGGGAACUAAUAUCAGAAAUGUGAGACAGCAGGGGUAGGUUUGUGACAGAAAUUUUUUGGCUCUUAAGUGGCACUAAACCUCACUAUGGUAUUCAUCAUCCCUCCUACGCUCUGUAAUGGGAGCCCUGAUUCUCCCCCUCUUCACAUAGCUACAAUAGCGGGUCACCUCGCUUCUAAAUCUUCACAUUUGGAAAAAGAAAAGAACAGCUUCAUAGUACAAAGGCAUAAUUCUGCUUCACAACUCAGUAUGUUACAAAAUAUAAUCCAUUUUCCUUUGCCAUUUUUACAUAAACACUUUUAUUAUGCCCAUAGAGAAGAAAGGUUACCUUUUGAGGGAAAUUAUUCAUGAGGGA